rnacentral:snRNA from 1 species
AUCACUUCUCGGCCUUUUGGCUAAGAUCAAGUGUAGAAAUGUAGGGGGAGAGAAGGGGAAUGUACUGGAAGAUAGUCUCUCCCCAGUUUUUUUUUUAAUUUUUUUAAUUUCCCCAAUACAUUAU